GACCAUAUCUUACAUCACUGUCUUGAGGGGGCAGCAAGUGGAGCAGAGUCUGGACAAACUUCAGCUCUUGUGUGUCACUGCUGGAUAAGAUCAAGAUACUCUUCCAAUGCACAGCCUGAAUCAUUGUCAGAAGAUGCUGUGUGCGCUGAUGAAGUAGCGCCCUGGGCUGGACUAUCUGGUGCCAUUGGAGAAUACAGAAGGGCAUCCACUGAAAGGGACGGCUGCAAAGCAGACAGACAGAGAUUGACAGUGGACGACAAGACUCAAUGAUCUGCCACAACUGCUCUAGAAGGCUUUCAAACAGAGAUUAAUAACUUUAAUCUGCAAAUCUGUAACAUGACCUUCCUUACAACCUACAUUAGUCAGCAUACUGUAGAUAAUCAUAUCUUUACUUAAAAGCUUUCCAUUCUUAAAAAUGUGAUCAUUCAAUUGUAAAUUCCAUGGGAUAGUAGUUAUAUAACAGGAUUAUGGUGGUUUAGGAAGAAGCCACAGAGAAAUGUAAUUUAAUGUACAAACAAAAACUAUGUAGAACAGAAUUUUACCCAAUCAAAUUAUGUUUCUGUAAUUUCUCACAAUUAAUUACACUUUCAUGCAUUAUAUUUCCCUUAACAUAAUACAGUGUUUGAUAAAGAUGCAAUAAACAUAAGUGUUUAUGUUUCA